UCGAGCGGAAGGGCCCUUUCGGGGGUACUCGAGCGGCGGACGGGUGAGUGACACGUGAGUAAUCUGCCCUGGACUCUGGGAUAGCCACCGGAGACGGUGAUUAAUACCGGAGAUGACCACUCUAGGCAUCUAGUGGUGGUGGAAAGUUUUUCGGUCCAGGAUGUGCUCGCGGCCUAUCAGCUUGUUGGUGAGGUAAUGGCUCACCAAGGCUUUGACGGGUAGCCGGCCUGAGAGGGUGACCGGUCACACUGGGACUGAGACACGGCCCAGACUCCUACGGGAGGCAGCAGUGGGGAAUAUUGGACAAUGGGCGGAAGCCUGAUCCAGCAACGCCGCGUGAGGGAUGACGGCCUUCGGGUUGUAAACCUCUUUCAGUACCGACGAAGCGAAAGUGACGGUAGGUACAGAAGAAGGACCGGCCAACUACGUGCCAGCAGCCGCGGUAAUACGUAGGGUCCGAGCGUUGUCCGGAAUUAUUGGGCGUAAAGGGCUCGUAGGCGGUUUGUCGCGUCGGGAGUGAAAACAGCGGGCUUAACUCGUUGCUUGCUUUCGAUACGGGCAGACUAGAGGUAUGCAGGGGAGAAUGGAAUUCCUGGUGUAGCGGUGAAAUGCGCAGAUAUCAGGAGGAACACCGGUGGCGAAGGCGGUUCUCUGGGCAUUACCUGACGCUGAGGAGCGAAAGUGUGGGGAGCGAACAGGAUUAGAUACCCUGGUAGUCCACACCGUAAACGUUGGGCGCUAGGUGUGGGGGUCCUUUCCACG
rnacentral:rRNA from 1 species